GACGAACCGAGCGAACGUUAUUCGGAAUCACUGGGCUUAAAGGGCGCGUAGGCGGGCCGGCAAGUCCGGGGUGAAAGCCCCCAGCUCAACUGGGGAAGUGCCUCGGAUACUGCCGGCCUCGAGGGAGGUAGGGGCGUGCGGAACUUCCGGUGGAGCGGUGAAAUGCGUAGAUAUCGGAAGGAACACCGGUGGCGAAAGCGGCGCGCUGGACCUCUUCUGACACUGAGGCGCGAAAGCCAGGGGAGCGAACGGG
rnacentral:rRNA from 1 species